UACGAAGGGGGCUAGCGUUGCUCGGAAUCACUGGGCGUAAAGCGCACGUAGGCGGCUUGCUAAGUCAGGGGUGAAAUCCUGGAGCUCAACUCCAGAACUGCCUUUGAUACUGGCGAGCUUGAGUCCGGGAGAGGUGAGUGGAACUGCGAGUGUAGAGGUGAAAUUCGUAGAUAUUCGCAAGAACACCAGUGGCGAAGGCGGCUCACUGGCCCGGUACUGACGCUGAGGCGCGAAAGCCAGGGGAGCAAACGGG
rnacentral:rRNA from 1 species